GAUGAACGCUGGCGGCGUGCCUAAUACAUGCAAGUCGAACGAACAGGUGAGGAGCUUGCUCCUUUCACGUUAGCGGCGGACGGGUGAGUAACGCGUGGAUAACCUACCUGUAAGACUGGGAUAACUUCGGGAAACGGGAGCUAAUACCGGAUAAUAUAUUGAAUCGCAUGGUUUAUUAGUAAAAGACGGUUUUGCUGUCACACAUGGAGGGAUACCCGCCUCUUUAGUUAGUUGUUAAGUUAACGGCUUUCCAAGGGAACCAGGCGUAGCGGCCGUAAGAGGGUGAGCGGCCACACGGGAACGGAGACACGCCCAAGGUGCCUACGGGAGGCACCAGUAGGGAAUCUUAGGAAAUGGGCGAAAGCAUGACGGAGCAAGGCGGAGGGGGUGAUGACGGUGUCCGGAUCGUAAAACUCUUUUAUUAGGGAAAAACAGAUUUGUAAUUAAAUAUGCACGUAUUGACGGUACCUAAUCAGAAAGCCACGGCUAACUACGUG
rnacentral:rRNA from 1 species